UUAAUAAUGGUUCAGACUGGUAGGUACAUGUGUCAGACACGGAGGUUGCGGGGUAAGAAGCACGCCACAAGUGUCAAUGACAAUAAAAUUUGUUGGGUAUUUUCUACCUCGCAAAUUUCUUUAAUAUUUCCUUUUCAUCUUCAUCUCUCACGUUCUCAUUCUGUCUAUUCUUUCACUAUUUCACUCUCUGCCUCUAUUCACUCAAGAAAAACUCAAGAAAAAUUAAAUUUUCACAAAACCCUUAAUCCAACAGGAUCCUUGCAAGCUGCAUUUCCAAGCCUUCCCACAACUUGUAAUUUUUUGUUUCAAGCCUUCUCACAAGGUCUUUUUUCUCUCGGAUGGAUGCGAAAUACGAUGGCUCAAGUUGAACUGAUACAAUAAAUUGACAUUGGGCUUGAAGUGUUUUGUUGGAAAUUUCAUUUUAAAUAGAAGCUCUUUACUUUGUUGUUGUAGUCACUGUUGCGCACUUGUUGGGCAGCAUUUGGUGAGGAAGCUAAUUGCCUUAUUAGGGAGAGCUUCGAUCAUCAUUUUCAUCCUUGCCCUCACAGUUUUCGUGAGUGGAACAUCACUAGGUAAGUGUUAUUAAUUUGGUUGAUUUGCUUUAUUUGUUAUCUAUGAGUGACCUCUUGGUAAUUAUGACUAGCAAAAUAUGUUUUGUUUUAUUGAAUUUGAAUUAUA